ensembl:lncRNA BVES-AS1 BVES antisense RNA 1
GGCGGGCGGAGCCCGGCGCCGCGGCCAGGAUUUCCCACCUCGCUCCCGCGACUCCGCUGCGGGUCUGCACACCCGAGGACUCGGGGUACUUAACCGAAACUAGCAAUCCCAGGCGGUACAAGGCCCUCCAUCGUAGGCAAAGCACUACCUGAAUGUAGAUUUGGGCCAUACGUUGGAAAAUAAGACAUGAGAGUAUGCUCCGAUCAACUUUUACUGUUCACUGGACAACUAUUUUGGGAAUUUGCAGACCUAUAAAGCCCAUCUAUAAAUCUCAAGCAUGUCCACUUUCAGAGAAGAGAAAUGCUGACAACCAUUUAGUCUCUGAGGACAACACUUUUAAAGUGUAACAAUGUGGCAUCCAGAGCUUAUCCAGAUGAGCGGAGAGCAAAUGAAUUUCCUUCUGCUCCCCUGUUGAAGAGGAGAGAAAAAUUCUUCAAGCUUUAUACAGGACUCCAUCAUAGGACUGGAGAGAGAUUGGAUGUCAGAGUGAUUGAUGUGCUCCUACUGGAAGAAGGCAAACAUCCAUAUGUGAACUGCCUGUGGGGUUUCCAAGGAAAGGAACGGCAGGCAGCCUCUAUGAGCUUAAAGAAGAUAACUGGGACUUUAGUCCUAUAACCUCAAGGAACAGUAUUCUGUGAACCAUCUGAGAAGCUUGGAAGAGGACCCCAAACUCCAAAUAAGAAGCUCAGUGUGUCUGACACCUUGACUGCAGGCUUGGGAGGUCCUGAGCAGAAGAUCCAGUUCAACAGUGCCUGGACUCCUGAUCCACAAAAACUGAUAACAAAUAUUUAUUGUUUUAAGAUGCUAAGUUUGUAGUCAUUUUUUAUACAGCAACAGAAAACUAAACACACACAUAAACAGUUAUAAGUGCUCACUGUA